UGAGCAAUCUGCCCUUCUCUUCGGAAUAAGCGUUGGAAACGACGUCUAAUGCCGAAUACGACCUCCUUUCGCAUGAUCGGAGGUGGAGAGCUCCGGCGGAGAAGGAUGAGCUCGCGGCCUAUCAGCUAGUUGGUGUGGGUAAUGGCCCACCAAGGCGACGGACGGGUAGCCGGCCUGAGAGGGUGACCCGGCCACACGUGGGACUGAGACACGGCCCAGACCUCCGUACGGGAGCAG
rnacentral:rRNA from 1 species